rnacentral:lncRNA from 1 species
CAAUUUUCGUGGUUUCGUGGAUGAUUUUAUCCACGAAUUUAAGUGUCCAACGAAAUAAAACAACCAUUGUCCAAAGCAAGACAUGGAACGAUCCCCAUGUAGGGUUGACUACUGUCAUGAUCUAGAGAAUAUAUUGAACAACGCCAAUUCUGAGAAUACUUUAAUAGGAGUCACAGAACUACAACUGCAUACAGGGUUAUACGCAUUAAAUCUUUAAUAACCGAAAAUGUACAACUUUUCAUCUUUUCAUUCUCAUAAAAAAUAUUUUUGGUCGAUGAAAGUCAGAUUUCUGGUAUUGAUAUGCUAGUAUGAUAAAGUGUUCAUUUUAUAUCCUCAUAGUUCGCGUACAUAUGGGAAAUGAUAAUUUCAUGCUUGGCUUGAUUUUGAUUAGAACUAUUUGACAAUUCAAGAUACGUUUAUAGUAUUUGUUUAUGUUACUGUUUUUUUUAUUCUUUAGGUGACAUGUUUAUGGCCUAAUUAACACCUUUGAUGGUCUUUAAUCUGUUGAUCACUUUAUCUUAGGUUAAUUAGACUUGUGUUGUCACUACGAUUCACACAUGUCAAUGUUUACUUUGCAAUAUCCUUCAAUCCAGACUAUUUGUUAUCUUCGUUUCUAAAGGCUUUAAUUUUUCAAUUACUUUUUUUAGAAAACUAAAAUCCACGAAUUUAAAAACCCACGAAUUUGUAAAUAUUGCUCAAACCACGAAAAUUGAUACCC